UACGUAGGUGGCAAGCGUUAUCCGGAUUUAUUGGGCGUAAAGCGAGCGCAGGUGGUUUAUUAAGUCUGGUGUAAAAGGCAGUGGCUCAACCAUUGUAUGCAUUGGAAACUGGUAGACUUGAGUGCAGGAGAGGAGAGUGGAAUUCCAUGUGUAGCGGUGAAAUGCGUAGAUAUAUGGAGAAACACCGGUGGCGAAAGCGGCUCUCUGGCCUGUAACUGACACUGAGGCUCGAAAGCGUGGGGAGCAAACAGG
rnacentral:rRNA from 1 species